AACGCACAUUGCGCCCCUUGGUAUUCCGGGGGGCAUGCCUGUUCGAGCGUCAUUACAACCCUCAAGCUCGGCUUGGUCUUGGGCGUCACCGGCCCCCGGUGUGCCUUAAAAUCAGUGGCGGCGCCAUCUGGCUCUAAGCGUAGUACAUACUCCCGCUACAGAUGCCCGGUGGAUGCUGGCCAGCAACCCCCAACUUAUCAAGGUUGACCUCGGAUCAGGUAGGGAUACCCGCUGAACUUAA
rnacentral:misc_RNA from 1 species